GGAGAUGAUCGAUUUGCAGAAGCAAGCAAAUAUCAUGGCAGUGUUUUUUUAUUGCUGUGUCAUUGCUCUGUUUAUGUUUUACUUGCUAUUCAUCGUCAUUAGAGGGGGCAUUUAGGUCUGUCCAGUGUAGAUGAUGUGAUCUGUGCGCCAUGACAAGUUCAUGUAUCUUAAAUGAAUCAGCAGUUUGGAACACAUUAUUCAGUUUUCAUGUUGUGUUUCCUUUGUUUUUUGUUCUUCAGUUAACAGAGUACACACCC
rnacentral:lncRNA from 1 species